CCUACGUGAGGCAGCAGUAGGGAAUCUUCCACAAUGGGCGAAAGCCUGAUGGAGCAACGCCGCGUGGGUGAAGAAGGUCUUCGGAUCGUAAAACCCUGUUGUUAGAGAAGAAAGUGUGUGAGAGUAACUGUUCACGUUUCGACGGUAUCUAACCAGAAAGCCACGGCUAACUACGUGCCAGCAGCCACGGUAAUACGUAGGUGGCAAGCGUUAUCCGGAUUUAUUGGGCGUAAAGGGAACGCAGGCGGUCUUUUAAGUCUGAUGUGAAAGCCUUCGGCUUAACCGGAGUAUUGCAUUGGAGACUGGGAGACUUGAGUGCAGAAGAGGGGAGUGGAACUCCAGGUGUAGCGGUGAAAUGCGUAGAGAUAUGGAAGAACACCAGUGGCGAAGGCGGCUCUUUGGUCUGUAACUGACGCUGAGGUUCGAAAGCGUGGGUAGCAAACAGGAUUAGAUACCCGGGUAGUC
rnacentral:rRNA from 1 species